AACUCUCAAACCGCAUCUUCAUUGAUGUCGGGUUUGGAUUUGGACGUUGCUGGGCUUUCUGUUCGGCUCGUCUUGAAUGCAUUAGCUGGCGAUUUCGACUUCAGUUAAACCGUGUGAUAAUACAUCUACGCGGGCAGCCGUAAGGCGCUGGGUCGUCAUUCAAAGGCUUCUAACUGUCCUUUGGACCGCCUUUACGGGCGUAUUCAUUUCAC
rnacentral:misc_RNA from 1 species